UAUACAAUGAGCAUCCUCAGCUCCUGCUGCCAUGCCUUCUCCACUGUGAUGGACUGUGUUCUCAAACAACGAGAGUUCAAGAUGGCUUUGGCAGCUGACAGAUUUCUCUUUAAGAAUGCACUGGAAGCCGGGGCCAAGGUCAAGACAUUGGCGUCCUUCUGAGCACAGAGUGAAGAUCUGUGGUCCUCUUAUUUCUUUCUUCUUGACUCCUGGCAUUUUGGUGACAAGCAGUUUCAGAUUGCACUUGUCAAAUCAGGAAACAAGGGAAACUUGGAAGGGAAAAUCAAAACAGUUGGAAAAGUCUCAACAGUUACACUUUCGCGUCGCUUACCGUGAAGAACCACUUGGUGUUCUCUAAGAAUGGGUUUGAUUACGCUGCCCACAGCUUUACAAGGUGUUGACCAGCUGGAGAUUUCUGUGUUAACUGCCAGGAGCUGCAAGGAGAAGCUUCUCUUUGAAAGAUGCUCUGAUCUUUGAGUCAGUAGGAGCCAUUUUAAUACUACGUCCAUUUAUCAGACUGAUAGAAUUAGGGUAUCCCCGGGAGUCUAUGACUCAUCUAGCCACAGGUCCUUGGCCUUUUUAGCAGUGCCAGGUCAUGGAGUAGUGUUUGGAUCCAAGCAGGAAAAGGUUGUUUAUUCACAUAAUAUUCACGCCACUAUUGUGUCGGUGGGUAUACCUUGUCAGACCAGGUAUUGCUGUAACUUGUAGAGUUCACAGAUAGGUGAAAAGUAUUUUUCUCUUCUAGCACCAUGCACAGUACCACUCAGCACUGCUCUUCUCCCCUCCGAUGCCCACUUCUUUUCUUUCCAUUCUUCAGUUUUAGAGU
rnacentral:lncRNA from 1 species